CGCAGUAAUGAGGGGAGCAGGGCUGUGCACUGGGAAAUGCAGUUGUCAGUGCUCAGACAGUGUCAGUGCUCUGCCUCUGUCACCAAGGACAAGCCUGAGCACCAGAAACGAGGAAACAGCCUCCAAAUGAGAGUCUUUGGGGAGGUUGUCUGAUAAAUGCUGUCCAGUAAAUAUAUUCUCUUGCCUUCUGCGAUGCAAAAUUACUUUCCUGCUUGUCUUCCCAGUGGACAAAUAUCAAAAUCAAUGACUGAACAUCAGAUGAAGCAUCCGUGGAGGGAGGACAGAUUGUAUUAAUAUGGAUGCCAUGCAUGAGAAGAAUAUUAGAGAAUAAUGAAGGUUUAUCAUCUUAUGCUGAGAUAGAAAUUAAUGUAUUUAACGAAACAUCGUGAAUGAAGAAACUUUUCUUCUCAGUGACCAGUAUGCUCAUCUAAGAGCAAUUAUGACUUAGUUCUGCAAGACAUCAAAUAAAUACAGCUUUGAAACCA
rnacentral:lncRNA from 1 species